rnacentral:rRNA from 1 species
AGGGUGCACGGUGAAUGUCUAGGCGUGAUGAGGCGAUGAAGGACGUGGCAGGCUGCGAUAAGCCCAGGGGAGCUGUCAAACGAGCUUUGAUCCUGGGAUCUCCGAAUGGGGCAACCCGGCAUUACAGUGCAAGCUGAUAAUGUCACCGGCGGCUGAAUUCAUAGGCCGUCGGGGCUAACGCAGGGAACUGAAACAUCUAAGUACCUGCAGGAAAGGAAAUCAACCGAGACUCCGUAAGUAGCGGCGAGCGAAAGCGGACAAGCCCAAACCCUCCGACUUGUCGGAGGGGGUUGUGGGCGCCAAUCUGGAGUUACAAAGGCAGCGGUAGCCGAAGAGUCUGGAAAGGCUCACCAUAGAAGGUGAUGGUCCUGUAGGCGAAACCGCGAGCCCUCCGUUGCGGUUGGCGUUCCAGAGUAGCGUAGAGCCCGUGAAACUCUGCGUGAAGCUGGGGGGUCCACCCUCCAAGGCUAAGUACUACAUCACGACCGAUAGUGCACAAGUAGGGUGACUGAACGAUGAAAAGAACCCCAAUAAGGGGAGUGAAAAGUACCUGAAACCGUGUACCUACAAGUGGUCGGAGCCCUAUGUCCCGGUCUUCGGAUCGGGAAACGGGUGACGGCGUACCUUUUGCAUAAUGGACCGGCGAGUUGUCGUUUGCGGCGUGCCUAAGUGGUUAAGCCACGGAGGCGAAGCGAAAGCGAGUCUGAAAUGGGCGUCUAUGUCGCAGGUGGCAGACCCGAAACCGAGUGAUCUACCCAUGGCCAGGUUGAAUCCGCUGUAACAGGUGGAGGAGGACCGAACCCGUUAACGUUGAAAAGUUAUGGGAUGAGCUGUGGGGAGGAGUAAAAGUCUAAUCAAACUCGGAGAUAUCUGGUUCUCUCCGAAAUAGCUAGAGGGCUAGCCUCGGGACACUACGUCAUGGGGGUAGAGCACUGGAUGAAACGCGGGGCCCACCAAGCUACCGCCUUCAACCAAACUCCGAAUACCAUGACGACUAUCCCGGGAGUCAGACCGCGGGGGAUAAUCUCCGUGGUCGAAAGGGAAACAGCCCAGACCGCCAGCUAAGGUCCCUAAACAUUGCUAAGUGGAUAAGGAAGUCGAAUUGCUGUGACAGCCAGGAUGUUGGCUUAGAGGCAGCCAUCAUUUAAAGACCGCGUAAUAGCCCACUGGUCGAGCAACUCGGCGCCGAUAAUGAUCGGGGCUAAGCAUUGUACCGAAGCUGCGGAUCGUCCGCGCUUGCGCGGGCGGUGGUAGGAGAGCGUUGCUGUCGGCGCUGAAGCGGUACCGUAAGGAGCCGUGGAGCGGCAGCAAGUGAGAAUGCCGGUAUGAGUAACGAUAAAGCAGGUGAAAAUCCUGCUCGCCGAAAGCCUAAGGUUUCCUGGGGAAGGUAAAUCCGCCCAGGGUUAGUCGGACCCUAAGUCGAGGCCGAAAGGCGUAGACGAUGGACAGCAGGUUAAUAUUCCUGCACUGUGCGCCGAAGGUUUGCACCAGAGGAGUGACGCAUCGCCAAGGUAGAUCGUGCGAAUAGACGAGCACGUUGGGGGCGCCGGGGUGGUCGGAUUAAUAGUUCGGCCAUCAGCCCUGUCGCCAGCUCGAGGCCGAUUUGGUUGCCGAAGUCUGCGGCGGCGGUGCCGAGAAAACCUUCGCUGGGACAACGGUGCGCAUCCGUACUAAAACUGACACAGGUAGGCGAGGAGAGUAUCCUCAGGCGCUCGAGAGAACCGUCCUUAAGGAACUAGGCAAUUUGACCCCGUACCUUCGGAAUAAGGGGUCCCUCCUCGAGAGACUGCUAUUACGUAGUCUUAUCGAGAGGGCGCAGAGAAUCGGCUCUGGCGACUGUUUAUCAAAAACACAGGACUCUGCUAACUCGCAAGAGGAUGUAUAGAGUCUGACGCCUGCCCGGUGCCGGAAGGUCAAGGAAGCGGGUUAUCCCGAUUCGUCGGGAGAAGCUCACGACUUAAGCCCCGGUAAACGGCGGCCGUAACUAUGACGGUCCUAAGGUAGCGAAAUUCCUUGUCGGGUAAGUUCCGACGCGCAUGAAUGGCGUAACGACUGGAGCAGUGUCUCAAGGACGGACUCGGUGAAAUUAUAGUCGCGGUGAAGAUACCGCGUACCCGCGGCAAGACGGAAAGACCCCGUGAACCUUUACUGUAGCCUGAUAUUGUUGCCUUGCUGCGCAUGCGUAGGAUAGGUGGGAGGCAUUGAAAUCCCGGUUCUGGCCGGGAUGGAGCCAACCUUGAAAUACCACCCUUGCGUUGUGAGUCACCUAACCCCAUUCCGUGAAUCCGGGUGGGGGACCGUGUCAGGUGGGCAGUUUGACUGGGGCGGUCUCCUCCCAAAAGGUAACGGAGGAGUUCAAAGGUAUCCUCAGCACGGUUGG